UAUCUUCCAGUUCCAGUAUUGACUUGUUUAAAACAUUAAAGUGUAUUGGUCUUUGAGAUGUUAUAUUAAUAUACCACUUAGAAAUUAUCUCAAAACACCAAUAUUAUCAUAUUUCACAAUAAUUACUGGUACAAUUUAUCAUCCAGCAACAUUUGUUAUUGUGACAGGCCUAACAAGGUUUGGGUCACACUGUCUUUGAUAAACACAACUCCUGCUGUGUUUAACAAACUCUAAUAAUUCAAUAUAAAGAUCAGUAUUUGUGGAUUUUACUGUGAUGAAUAUCUAAAAUAUUUGAAAAAAAAAAUCAGUUUGGGAAGCUAGAAUGCUACUUGGCAGACUAUUUGUCUAGUGUUCAAAAAGCAGUCAGUCCUGCAAUGCCAUUUGUUUUUCUUGGCUGUACCCUCAAGAAUUAGAUAUGAAAGAUUGGAGAUGUUAGUUUCUGCUGUAGUGCUCAGAGGGUUUCCAUUGUGCUUAUUCAUUCAUUCAUAUUUAGGUAUAUUUGUUGUUUGAACUAUUAAAAUAACUAGUUCUAUGCAAUUUUAGAGGGGUCACAAGUAUUUGCAGAUUUUAGCUGUUUGUAGCCCUUAACGCCCACAAAAACCACGGUCCCCUGUACUCUGAAAUUAAGGAGAAGGCAAAGUGUGUUUAUUAAAAGUUUAAUAUUUUGUGUUGGACCCCACAUUUUUAAAAUUACAAUUAAAAGUCUCUGACAUCACAUCACGUGCUAACUCUUUAACAACAUUUCAACCAGCAUCGCACUGAGAAGUACCUGGUAUAAUGAGUUCAGCAGAGGCACAGUUCCCCCAGGUGUUUGCUAAUUGCUGCUGGCUAGUGUGAAGGAGGUGAGGGAGAUCGUCCAAGCAGCCAUUUUGCGCAGCUGAAUGGCUGCCAUAGAGAUUAAAGGAUUUCUCAAACGUGCAUAAAAAAAUCCAAGCAACACUCCCGGUAUGUUUUUGAUGAGGGAAUAACAUUAUAACAUGAUGUAAAGCUCAAAAUAAUGGAUUUUACA